CGACGCUUCCGCAUCAUCUUCCUCAUCAUCAUCAUCAUCAUCAUCUUCAUCAUCUUUCCUCAUUAUAUCCACCCUUUUCACAUUCCUUGGAUUUAUAUUCUAUCUCCU
rnacentral:ribozyme from 1 species